rnacentral:lncRNA from 1 species
AAAGAAUAGCACUAAAUAAAUAAAUAAAUAAAUAAAUAUCAGCCCCAUUAAUUUUUAAUUGCAUAUUAAACUGAACUCACAGUGGAAUUUUAGUUAAGUAAAAAUUGUAGGUGGCACCACGGCUUUGCCCUGUACUGGACCACACAGACAAGCUGACAAUCAAAUUGGAAUCACCCACACUGAAGUUCCAUGUCCUCAAACCAAAGCUAAGUUGUUGACUGACUCAUCCAGAAGCCAAGCGGCCACCCUCUACAGUACUCCAGAGCCUGGAAGGGGGAUGUCUCUUUCAGUUGUGACCUUUCAUCUUCAUGAAAGGAAGCCUGGAAUAAUCUGAUGCCCGUUUGUCAUUUGUUUGUUCAUUUGGCUGAUUUUGUUUUCAUCCUCUGUCCCCAUCAUGGGAGGGAAAUGACAGAAAUGACAGAUCUUCUAUUUGUGCUUUGUUUCUGCUCUCUCCACACCUUCUCUGUCUAUAAGACAGAGAAGACAGCUCGUUUGCUCAGCUCAUCAAACAGCAUUUAAUGUAAUUUACAGAACGAAGUAAUGGCUCCCAAUCCUAAAAUCAAUAAAGGGGAACUGAAGACUACAUUCCAUUGGUAAAGUGCUUGCCAUGCAAUCAGGAGGACAUGAGUUCAGAUCCUGGCACUGGUAUAAAAGCUGAGCAUGGCCCUCAAUACCUGUAGUUCCAGCACUGGGAAUCAGACACAAAAAGGAUGCCUUGGGCUUGCUGCUCAGUCAGCAAAGACCAACCAGGAACCUGCAGGUUCAGUGUGAGUCUCAAAAACUAAAGUGGGGCAGGCAGCAAGAUGGCUCAGUGAAAGCACUUGCUGCCAAAGCCUGAAGACUGGAGUUUGAUCCCUUGAAAACUCAGGGGAAGGACUGGCCCCUGAAAUCUGUCCUGUGUCCUUUCCAUGUGUGCUGUGGCACUUGUGAGCCUCCACCAUAUAUCAUACACACACAGUAAUAAGAAAAUAAGUGGGGGAUAUUUGAAGAAGAAACCAGAUGUCGACUCAAAGAUGUCUGUCAUUCACAAAGAUGGUGGUGGUGGUGGUGGUGGGUGAUUGAUGAUUAUAUGAUGAUGACAAUGGUAAUGAUGACGAUGAUGAUGAUGAUAAUGGUGGUGGUGAUGGUGGUGGUGGUGACGAUACAACCCAACUUUAAACUAUCUGUGGUCAUUUUUCUCUGUUUGUGUGUGAACCUAGGGUUACAAUAAACAGGUACUUUUUUUCUUUCUUUCCUUUCUUAGGGUAGAGACACAAUGGAGUCCUCAACUCCGCACAAAACCUCCCUUUUAGAGACUGGGUUUCUUUUACUGCAUAGCC